rnacentral:rRNA from 1 species
GUAGUUAGCCGGGGCUUUCUUACAGGGUACCGUCACUUCUUCGUCCCCUGCGACAGAGGUUUACAAUCCGAAAACCUUCUUCCCUCACGCGGCGUUGCUGGGUCAGGCUUGCGCCCAUUGCCCAAUAUUCCCCACUGCUGCCUCCCGUAGGAGUCUGGACCGUGUCUCAGUUCCAGUGUGGCCGAUCAGCCUCUCAGCUCGGCUACCCAUCGUCGGCUUGGUGGGCUGUUAUCUCACCAACUACCUAAUGGGACGCGAACCCCUCUAAAAGCGAUAAAUCUUUGACCUCUUCCCGAUGCCGGGUUGUGGUCUUAUGCGGUAUUAGCAGUUGUUUCCACCUGUUAUUCCCCACUCUUAGGCAGGUUGUUCACGCGUUACUCACCCGUGCGCCACUAGAAUUAUCAAUUCCAUCCGAAAACUUCCUUAAUAAUCCCCGUUCGACUUGCAUGUGUUAGGCACGCCGCCAGCGUUCGUCCUGAGCCAGAAUCGAACCCUGA